UACGGGGGGGGCAAGCGUUGUUCAGAAUUACUGGGCGUAAAGGGCUCGUAGGUGGCCAACUAAGUCGGACGUGAAAUCCCUCAGCUUAACUGGGGAACUGCGUCCGAUACUGGAUGGCUCGAGUUUGGGAGAGGGAUGCGGAAUUCCAGGUGUAGCGGUGAAAUGCGUAGAUAUCUGGAGGAACACCGGUGGCGAAGGCGGCAUCCUGGACCAACACUGACACUGAGGAGCGAAAGCCAGGGGAGCAAACGGG
rnacentral:rRNA from 1 species